UACGGAGGGUGCAAGCGUUAUCCGGAUUCACUGGGUUUAAAGGGUGCGUAGGCGGGUUGGUAAGUCCGUGGCGAAAUCUCCAAGCUUAACUUGGAAACUGCCGUGGAUACUAUCAAUCUUGAAUAUAGUGGAGGUGAGCGGAAUAUGUCAUGUAGCGGUGAAAUGCUUAGAUAUGACAUAGAACACCCAUUGCGAAGGCAGCUCGCUACACUAUUAUUGACGCUGAGGCACGAAAGCGUGGGGAUCAAACAGG
rnacentral:rRNA from 1 species